rnacentral:lncRNA from 1 species
CCACGGAUAUGUCUUGGGAAGGAAUUUGCUUAUAGACAGAUGAAGAUCUUCGCGGCUGUCUUAUUGGGCAGUUUUAUUUUUAAACUCGUUGAGUCCAACUUUUGAUCCAGUCAGGCAGUCACCUCCCUCUCUCACAUCCGACCUUGAAUCAUGUCACAACAGGUAUGGUUUCUUUUUUCUGUCAAUCUCUGUUUUUUUUUUAACAUAUGCUCUGUGAUUCUGUUUAUUAUGAGCUUGAUGUUAUUACAUCAGGGAGAAAAAUAGGAAAAAACAGUUUCCCCGAGAGGCAUUUGUUUUAAAUAUCAUUGCUAAUCCAUUAUUAUGGUAUGCUGUUGCUGUGUGCUAAAAAAACAAAGAAUUAUGUUUAUUAUCUGUGUUAAAAAAAGAGGGGGGGUUCGGUGGAUUGUAAUUUAUCAAUUCUGAAAACUAAGUUUUUUUUAUUUUAUGAAAAGAGAAUAAUGUGUAUAUAUAUAUAUGCUGCUGGGUUGAAAUUACAAAAUACAAUAUAUGCUGCUGUGUUCUAUAUAUAUAUAUAUAUAUGCUACUGGGUGCUGAGAUUGUAUUUCAACCCAGCAGCAUAUAUAUAUAUAUAUAUAUAUAUAUAUAUAUAUAUAUAUAUAUGAAAAAAGAGUAGCUUGGAUUGAAGGGAGAAGUUUUUGUAUUAAUUUGCCAUUGAUUGUACUCAGCACCCUUACUUUGGAUUGUUGAUCAAUUCCAAAAAUAAUGAAAAGUUCAUGAUAUAUGCUUGAGUUUUCCUUUGGUUGGCAACACUCACGAAUUUAAAAAAGAGUAGCUUAAUUAAAUAACACCUUUUGCUUCAUACUCCCUUCUCACCCAUGUUUCUGAACUACUAGAUUUACCAUUCGAAUAUAUAUAUAUAUAUAUAUAUAUAUAUAUAUAUAUAUAUAUAUAUAUAUAUAUAUAUAUAUAUAUAUAUAUAUAUAUAUAUAUAUAUAUAUAUAUAUAUAUAUAUAUAUAUAUGCUGCUGUAUAUAUAUAUAUAUUUUGUAUUGUAUUAUUGUCUAUUGAAAUUACAAAAUGCAAUCUCAGCACCCAGUAGCAUAAUUUUUUUUCAACAUAUCAACCAAAAUAAAAGAACUUAACUUGUGAAAAUAAUCUUUAAAAGUACAGUUGAACUUAUGCAUGUCAUACUAUUGUUAAUCUAUUAUAAAUUAUUGGUUUUUAACAUGUUUUCAUUAUGUAAUAACAGAUGGAAACUACUCAAAUUCAAAAUGCUUCAUCCAUGGGCACUACUCCAACAUCAACUACUUCUCCAACUUCAAAACCUAACGCAGAAUCAACCAAUGCAGGGUCCACCACAGAUACAAAAGGUAAAC